AUGUGUAUUCCAAAGAGCCAAGAUGGCAUGAAAUUUAGGGACAUCCACUGUUUUAACCUUGCUUUAUUGGCAAAACAAGCUUGGCGUCUUAUUGAUGGUCCUGAACCAUUAUCUGCUACUAUCCUCAAGGCUAUGUAUUAUCCUGAUGGAGAUCUGUUAAAUGCUACCCUCAAGGCAGAGUAUUAUGGCAGGUGUGGAUGUUAUUAA
rnacentral:rRNA from 1 species